rnacentral:rRNA from 1 species
UACAGAGGUCUCAAGCGUUGUUCGGAUUCAUUGGGCGUAAAGGGUGCGUAGGUGGCGCGCUAAGUCAGGUGUGAAAUCUCGAGGCUUAACUUCGAAACUGCAUUCGAUACUGCCGUGCUUGAGGACUGGAGAGGAGACUGGAAUUUACGGUGUAGCGGUGAAAUGCGUAGAUAUCGUAAGGAAGACCAGUGGCGAAGGCGGGUCUCUGGACAGUUCCUGACGCUGAGGCACGAAGGUCAGGGGAGCAAACGGG